GAUGAACGCUGGCGGCGUGCCUAAUACAUGCAAGUCGAGCGAACAGACGAGGAGCUUGCUCCUCUGACGUUAGCGGCGGACGGGUGAGUAACACGUGGAUAACCUACCUAUAAGACUGGGAUAACUUCGGGAAACCGGAGCUAAUACCGGAUAAUAUAUUGAACCGCAUGGUUCAAUAGUGAAAGACGGUUUUGCUGUCACUUAUAGAUGGAUCCGCGCCGCAUUAGCUAGUUGGUAAGGUAACGGCUUACCAAGGCAACGAUGCGUAGCCGACCUGAGAGGGUGAUCGCCCACACUGGAACUGAGACACGGUCCAGACUCCUACGGGAGGCAGCAGUAGGGAAUCUUCCGCAAUGGGCGAAAGCUUGACGGAGCAACGCGGCGUGAGUGAUGAAGGUCUUCGGAUCGUAAAACUCUGUUAUUAGGGAAGAACAAAUGUGUAAGUAACUAUGCACGUCUUGACGGUACCUAAUCAGAAAGCCACGGCUAACUACGUG
rnacentral:rRNA from 1 species